rnacentral:rRNA from 1 species
AUUGAACGCUGGCGGCAGGCCUAACACAUGCAAGUCGAGCGAGCGGCGGACGGGUGAGUAAUGUCUGGGAAACUGCCUGAUGGAGGGGGAUAACUACUGGAAACGGUAGCUAAUACCGCAUACCAUCAGAUGUGCCCAGAAGGGAUUAGCUAUUAGGUGGGGUAACGGCUCACCUAGGCGACGAUCCCUCGCUGGUCUGAGAGGAUGACCAGCCCAACUCGAAUGGAGACACGGUCCAGACUCCUACGGGCGGCAGUAGUGGGUAAUAUUGCACAAUGGGCGCAAGCCUGAUGCAGCCAUGCCGCGUGUGGGAAGAAGGCCUUCGGGUUGUAAAGCACUUUCAGCGGGGAGGAGUUACCCGCAGAAGAAGCACCGGCUAACUCCGUGCCAGCCGCCGCGGUAAUUC